rnacentral:rRNA from 1 species
UUGAACGCUGGCGGAAUGCUUUACACAUGCAAGUCGAGCGGCAGCGCGGGGGCAACCCUGGCGGCGAGCGGCGAACGGGUGAGUAAUGCGUCGGAACGUACCGAGUAAUGGGGGAUAACGCAGCGAAAGCUGUGCUAAUACCGCACACGCCCUGAGGGGGAAAGUGGGGGAUCGCAAGACCUCACGUUAUUCGAGCGGCCGACGUCUGAUUAGCUAGUUGGUGGGGUAAAGGCUCACCAAGGCGACGAUCAGUAGCGGGUCUGAGAGGAGGAUCCGUCACACUGGAACUGAGACACGGUCCAGACUCCUACGGGAGGCAGCAGUGGGGAAUUUUGGACAAUGGGGGCAACCCUGAUCCAGCCAUUCCGCGUGAGUGAAGAAGGCCUUCGGGUUGUAAAGCUCUUUCAGCCGGAACAAAACGGUACGCUCUAACAUAGCGUGCUAAUGACGGUACCGGCAGAAGAAGCACCGGCUAACUACGU